AUGGAGUCAGCUGGCCCCAGCGCCAAGAAUAUGAGGUUCCCCCUAGUGGCGACGGUGGUUGUAGAUCUCGCACCUGGCAGUGUGGGGAGAAGCGGCAAGCCCACCCCACCUGGAUCUGUGGAACCUGUAGAAUCUCUGAUGGACCGCAUCAGUGAUCUCCCGGACAACAUCCUUGGGGAGAUCAUCUCGCUUCUCCCCACCAAGGAUUGCUACCGCACCCAAGUCCUCUCAACUCGGUGGCGCCCUCUAUGGCGCACCGCACCCCUCAAUAUCGAUCGUCCUUAG
rnacentral:rRNA from 1 species